rnacentral:rRNA from 1 species
AGUAAACACGUGGGCAACCUGCCUGUAAGAUCGGGAUAAACUUACGGAAAACGUGAGCUAAUACCGGAUAAGACAUCCAUCCUCCUAGAUGGAUGAUGAAAGAUGGCUUCUCGCUAUCACUUACAGAUGGGCCCGCGGCGCAUUAUCUAGUUGGUGGGAUAAAAGCUCACCAAGGCAACGAUGCGUAGCCGACCUGAGAGGGUGAUCGGCCACACUGGGACUGAGACACGGCCCAGACUCCUACGGGAGGCAGCAGUAGGGAAUCAUCCGCAAUGGACGAAAGUCUGACGGUGCAACGCCGCGUGAGUGACGAAGGUUUUCGGAUCGUAAAACUCUGUUGUUGGGGAAGAACAGGUAUCAUUCGAAUAGGGUGAUGCUUUGACGGUACCUAACCAGAAAGCCCCGGCUAA